rnacentral:rRNA from 1 species
GAUGAACGCUGGCGGCGUGCCUAAUACAUGCAAGUCGAGCGAACAGACGAGGAGCUUGCUCCUCUGAAGUUAGCGGCGGACGGGUGAGUAACACGUGGAUAACCUACCUAUAAGACUGGGAUAACUUCGGGAAACCGGAGCUAAUACCGGAUAAUAUAUUGAACCGCACGGUUCAAUAGUGAAAGACAGUUUUCAUGUCACUUACAGAUUGAUCCGCGCCGCAUUAGCUAGUUGGUAAGGUAACGGUUUACCAAGGCCACGAUGGGUAGCAGACCCGAGAGGGAGAUCGGCCACACUGGAAGUGAGACACGGUCCAGACUCCUACGGGAGGCAGCAGUAGGGAAUCCUCCGCAAUGGGCGAAAGCCUGACGGAGCAACGCCGCGUGAGUGAUGAAGGUCUUCGGAUCGUAAAACUCUGUUAGUAGGGAAGAACAAAUGUGUAAGUAACUAUGCACGUCUUGACGGUACCUAAUGAGAAAGCCACGGCUAACUACGUG